rnacentral:rRNA from 1 species
AGAGUUUGAUCCUGGCUCAGAAUGAACGCUGGCGGCAUGGAUUAGGCAUGCAAGUCGAACGAUCCCGCUUGCGGGAUAGUGGCGAAAGGGUGAGUAACGCGUGAGUAACCUGCCUUUAGGUUGGGGAUAGCCCGGGGAAACCCGGAUUAAUACCGGAUGUGGCGUUCUGCUUAGUUGCAGAAUUGCUAAAGUCCCGCUUGCGGGACGCCUUUAGAUGGGCUCGCGUCCUAUUAGCUUGUUGGUGAGGUAACGGCUCACCAAGGCUACGACAGGUAGGUGGUCUGAGAGGAUGGUCACCCACACUGGGACUGAGACACUGCCCAGACUCCUACGGGAGGCUGCAGUCGAGAAUCUUCCGCAAUGAGCGAAAGCUUGACGGAGCGAUGCCGCGUGAGGGAUGAAGGCUUUCGGGUCGUAAACCUCUGUCACUCGGAACGAAGAUCUGACGGUACCGAGAGAGGAAGCCACGGCUAACUACGUGCCAGCAGCCGCGGUAAUACGUAGGUGGCAAGCGUUAUUCGGAUUUAUUGGGCGUAAAGGGUCCGUAGGGGGCUUGUUAAGUCUGGUGUGAAAUACCUCGGCUCAACCGGGGAAUUGCAUUGGAAACUGACAGGCUAGAGCAUCGGAGAGGAGAGUGGAAUUCCUGGUGUAGCGGUGGAAUGCGUAGAUAUCAGGAGGAACACCGAAGGCGAAGGCAGCUCUCUGGACGAUUGCUGACCCUGAGGGACGAAAGCUAGGGGAGCGAACAGGAUUAGAUACCCUGGUAGUCCUAGCCGUAAACGUUGUACACUAGGUGUGGGGGGAUUUGACCCCCUCCGCGCCCAAGCUAACGCGAUAAGUGUACCGCCUAGGGAGUACGACGGCAACGUUAAAACUCAAAGGAAUUGACGGGGGCCCGCACAAGCGGUGGAGCAUGUGGCUUAAUUCGAGGCAACGCGAAGAACCUUACCUGGGUUUGACAUAUAGUGGACCGGCUGUGAAAGCAGCUUUCCCUUCGGGGCCAUUAUACAGAUGCUGCAUGGCUGUCGUCAGCUCGUGUCGUGAGAUGUUCGGUUAAGUCCGGCAACGAGCGCAACCCGUGUCAUCUGUUGCCAGCAGGUAAAGCUGGGUACUCUGAUGAGACUGCCCGUGUUAAGCGGGAGGAAGGCGCGGAUGACGUCAAGUCCGUAUGGCCUUUAUGUCCAGGGCUACACACGUGCUACAAUGGACUGUACAAAGGGUUGCAACACUGCGAAGUGAAGCUAAUCCCGUAAAGCAGUUCGUAGUUCGGAUUGGAGUCUGCAACUCGACUCCAUGAAGCUGGAAUCGCUAGUAAUCGUGGAUCAGCAUGCCACGGUGAAUACGUUCCCGGGCCUUGUACACACCGCCCGUCACACCAUGAGAGUUGGUUGUACCAGAAGUCGUCGGACCAACCUAUUCAGGAGGUAGGCGCCUAAGGUAUGGCUGAUGAUUGGGGUGAAGUCGUAACAAGGUA